GACGAACGCUGGCGGCGUGCUUAACACAUGCAAGUCGAACGCUGAAGCCCUUUCGGGGGUGGAUGAGUGGCGAACGGGUGAGUAACACGUGGGUAAUCUGCCCUGUACUUCGGGAUAAGCCUUGGAAACGGGGUCUAAUACCGGAUAGGACCUGUCCUCGCAUGGGGGUGGGUGGAAAGUUCCGGCGGUAUGGGAUGAGCCCGCGGCCUAUCAGCUUGUUGGUGGGGUAGUGGCCUACCAAGGCGACGACGGGUAGCCGGCCUGAGAGGGUGACCGGUCACACUGGGACUGAGACACGGCCCAGACUCCUACGGGAGGCAGCAGUGGGGAAUCUUGCGCAAUGGGCGAAAGCCUGACGCAGCAACGCCGCGUGGGGGAUGACGGCCUUCGGGUUGUAAACCUCUUUCGACAUCGACGAAGGGGCCCUGUUGUGGGUUUUGACGGUAGGUGUAGAAGAAGCACCGGCUAACUACGUGCCAGCCGCCGCAGUAA
rnacentral:rRNA from 1 species